CUACGGGACGCUGCAGUGGGGAAUAUUGGGCAAUGGGCGCAAGCCUGACCCAGCAACGCCGCGUGAGGGAAGAAGGUUUUCGGAUUGUAAACCUCUGUCCUUGGGGACGAAGAAGUGACGGUACCCAAGGAGGAAGCUCCGGCUAACUACGUGCCAGCAGCCGCGGUAAUACGUAGGGAGCAAGCGUUGUCCGGAAUUACUGGGCGUAAAGGGUGCGUAGGCGGCAUAUUAAGUCAGGUGUGAAAUACUCGGGCUCAACCCGGGGGCUGCAUUUGAAACUGAUAUGCUUGAGUGUGAGAGAGGAAAGUGGAAUUCCUAGUGUAGCGGUGGUAUGCGUAGAUAUUAGGAGGAACACCAGUGGCGAAGGCGACUUUCUGGCUCAUAACUGACGCUGAGGCACGAAAGCGUGGGGAGCAAACAGGAUUAGAUACCCGGGUAGUC
rnacentral:rRNA from 1 species